GAUUCUUCCCCUCUCCCUGGGAGAGGGUACUCCCCUCUUUCCCUCUCCCCAGGGAGAGGGAAUGGGGAAGGGAAAGCCCGAUAAAAUCUCAUUAUGCAAUGGAAGCCAUCAUGCAAUCACCUUCCACAUGCACAAGCAUUAGAGAAAGCCCGAUUAGAAGAGUUCUUAGGCAGAAGCUCAGCUUGAGGGAGAUCAGCAUGGCUCAGAGGAAAGAAAAAUCCAAUCUUCGAGGAGAUGCUCCUAGUUCCGGUGACAAAAUUCUUCAAGGAUCUGCUAAAGAAACCCCUAGCAAGCAUGAGCCAAGCCACUUGCCUCUUCCUAAAGUAUAACUUGGAGAUAAGAUGCUUAAGUUAGAUAUAAAAUCGAACGACAAAGGUAAAUGUUCAACUACAACAAAGGAGCUUCAUAUCGUCGAUCUGUCAAAUGGAACUAAAUGGAUAAUCGAUGACAAGAUUGUAGUCGAUCUACUCAAAAAGUACAAGUCUGCACCUGAUCAGAAGACGAAAGAUGAAAUUAUAAAACUUCUUCAGUCAAGGGUUGCUUCGUUGAGCACCAAACGUCGAGGCCGGCCAAUCCCAUGAGAUUUGCCAAGCAUCAAAGGACAGAGCAGGAGGUGGUUUGGAUGGAAAUCGUUUGGCUUGAUGUUAUCGCAUAUAAUGAGGCAAUGUGGUCUUUUACCUUUGAAGUUUGGCAUAACCGUUUAUGGUAGGUUUGUGAAAAUUAAAUUAUAUGCUUUGGUUAUAGGGUCGAAAUGGCCUGACUUUGCACGCUUUGAAGAUCUUAGAUUGCUAAUAGAGGAUAACAGAACGAAGUGUUAGUUUGGAAUUAUCAAGGAAGUUUUAAGGAGCAAAAA